GAUGAACGCUGGCGGCGUGCCUAAUACAUGCAAGUCGAGCGAACAGACGAGGAGCUUGCUCCUCUGACGUUAGCGGCGGACGGGUGAGUAACACGUGGAUAACCUACCUAUAAGACUGGGAUAACUUCGGGAAACCGGAGCUACUACCGGAUAAUAUAUUGAACCGCAUGGUUCAAUAGUGAAAGACGCUUUUUCUGUCACUAAUAGCUGACUCCGCGCCGCAUGAGCUAGUUGGUAAGGUAACGGCUUACCAAGGCGGCGACGCGAAGCCGACCUGAAAGGGAGGUUGGCCAGACUGGAUGUGAGGCAGGUCCCAGACUCCUACGGGAGGCAGCAGUAGGGAAUCUUCCGCGAUGGGGGAGAGCCUGACGGAGCAACGCCGCGGGAGUGAUGAAGGUCUUCGGAUCGUUAAACGCUGUUAUUAGUGAAGAAGAAAUGUGUAUGUAACUAUGCACGUCUUGACGGUACCGAGUCAGAAAGCCACGGCUAACUACGUG
rnacentral:rRNA from 1 species